rnacentral:rRNA from 1 species
CUAGAGUAUAGAAAGUUACUCGGUACAUCGGUGACAGGUGGUGCAUGGUUGUCGUCAGCUCGUGUCGUGAGAUGUUGGGUUAAGUCCCGCAACGAGCGCAACCCCUAUUGUUAGUUGCCAUCAUUCAGUUGGGCACUCUAGCGAGACUGCCGGUAAUAAACCGGAGGAAGGUGGGAUGACGUCAAAUCAUCAUGCCCCUUAUGACCUGGGCUACACACGUGCUACAAUGGUUGGUACAACGAGUUGCGAGUCGGUGACGGCGAGCUAAUCUCUUAAAGCCAAUCUCAGUUCGGAUUGUAGGCUGCAACUCGCCUACAUGAAGUCGGAAUCGCUAGUAAUCGCGGAUCAGCACGCCGCGGUGAAUACGUUCCCGGGCCUU